GGGGGCAUAGCUCAGCUGGUAGAGCAGCGCCCUUUUAAGGCGAAGGUCGGAGGUUCGAAUCCUCCUGCCCUCA
rnacentral:tRNA from 1 species